ACGAACGCUGGCGGCAUGCCUAACACCUGCAAGUCGCACGAGACCUUCGGGUCUAGUGGCGCACGGGUGCGUAACGCGUGGGAACCUGCCCUUAGGUUCGGAAUAACUCCCCGAAAGGGGUGCUAAUACCGGAUAAUGUCUUCGGACCAAAGAUUUAUCGCCUUUGGAUGGGCCCGCGUUGGAUUAGCUAGUUGGUAGGGUAAAAGCCUACCAAGGCGACGAUCCAUAGCUGGUCUGAGAGGAUGAUCAGCCACACUGGGACUGAGACACGGCCCAGACUCCUACGGGAGGCAGCAGUGGGGAAUAUUGGGCAAUGGGCGAAAGCCUGAUCCAGCAAUGCCGCGUGAGUGAUGAAGGCCUUAGGGUUGUAAAGCUCUUUUACCCGGGAUGAUAAUGACAGUACCGGGAGAAUAAGCUCCGGCUAACUCCGUG
rnacentral:rRNA from 1 species